CAUGCUUGCUGAAUAUUACAAUUGAACGCGUAUGCUUGCGUGUUAAAAUGCUAUUAAGAAAUUUGGCAACAGUCAUGCCAAAACCGUGUAUUUUUUGUUUACCAACGGUAACUGAAAGUUAUUGCUACGGUCAUUACCGUAGCUAUAGAUGUCUAUAGUAACGCUCGACGACUGUGACGUCCCCAAAACAGGUAUAUAUCACCCAUCUUGAGUCGCCAAAUACAUGGUAUAAAAUUCAAAUACAACUUAAUUAUAUAACAGUCGUGUAAAAUACGACAAAAUAUAAUCUAAGAGUUUUAAUAAGAAUAUUGUCAUCUAGACAA
rnacentral:lncRNA from 1 species